GGAGGUGCGCGCGCGUGGGCGUCGGGGAGGCAGCGAUGUCCACCGGCUCGGUGAGCGACCCCGAAGAGAUGGAGCUGCGGGGGCUGCAGCGGGGGUACCCGGUCCCCGCCUCCAAGAGGCCGCCCCUCCGCGGCGCCGAGCGCAGCUACAUCUCGCCCAGUGACAACUCGUCGGCGGAGGAGGAAGACCCCGACGGCGAGGAGGAGCGGUGUGCGCUGGGCGCGGCGGGCGGCGCGGGAGGCUGCAAGAGGAAGCGGCCCCGUGUGGCUGGCGGCGGCGGCAAGAAGCCCCUCCCGCCCAAGGGCUCGGCCGCCGAGUGCAAGCAGUCGCAGCGGAACGCAGCCAACGCCCGCGAGCGCGCCCGGAUGCGCGUGCUGAGCAAAGCCUUCUCCAGGCUCAAAACUAGCCUGCCCUGGGUGCCCCCCGACACCAAGCUUUCCAAGCUGGACACGCUCCGGUUGGCUUCCAGUUACAUCGCGCACCUGCGGCAGCUGCUGCAGGAGGACCGCUACGAGAACGGCUACGUGCACCCGGUGAACCUGGUAGGGGCGUCGCGCUCGAGGCCUGGGGCGAGCGGCCGGGAGAUGCCCAGGGAGCUCCCGCUUGCCGGGCAGAGUCAGCCCUCCAGGAAGAACCCGGAAGGGGGCUUCUGGUACGGGCAGUGAGGAGGCCAGUUUAGUUUCUCCCAAAUCACAGGAGGGGCCAGCGAAUUUCCUGGAGAACCAUCCACCCACAUGGCCUUUCGUGGUCUCGGGACGACCCGAUUCAGACACCAAAGAAGUUCCCGCAGCCAACAGAUUAUGUGGGACCACCGCUUAGACAGAACUUGAACUCACUUGAUGGGAUCUUGUUGAAGCGCGAGUGUUUGGGGAUCGUGGAGAGAAGAGCGACAGCGUGAGAACCCCCAGAGAACGGGAAGAAAGUUCCAUUGGAUUCUCCUAGAUUCUCCCUUACCCCAAGAACUGUGAACACUGAAGGUGGUGGGCGUGGGGGCAGAACCCGAGGGGUGGCGGCGGCUGUCACCAAGGGCACUGACUGUAUGGCUUCCGCGGAUCUGGGAGAAGACGCGUUGCUUCUUCAAAAAGAGCCUUCUUCGGUCUUGAGGGCGUGGACCCAUAUCCAACCAGAGUUUUAGUGUGUAGUCUAACCCCUGCACUGUGGACUACGCCCAGGGUCAAAAGGCCUUUGGAAUUGGUUUCCAAGCUGAGCCAGGUGUUUGUAUGUGAGGGUACGACUCUGCAGAACUCAGCGUGUUACGGUUAGGCCAAGUUAGAAUGCGCUCUGAAGGACUGGCUUUAAAGACAGAAGUCUUCCCGUGAGAUCCACAACGGGGCAUAUUUUUAAGUUGUAAAGGGAGAACAGUGGCAUAUCUGGGCCACGUUUGUGUUGCACGGGACAGAGCCCUUCCAGCGGACAGACGUGCGCUCUCCGCACCGGGAGAUAUGGAGGCACGCGUCCAGAGACCACCUGGGCCGGAUUUUGCCCACGGCGCUCCCGGCGGAUGGCCUCCCUGCUGCAAUUAGCCCCCUCCGCCCCCAUUGCUUACCUCUUCCUAACCAAGUUUGGGUCUAUCCACCUCUCCUUCUUGGCUGGAGUCACGCAGCUCCCACCCCGACCCCCGAACCAGGCUCCUGUCUCUUCGGGCCUCCCUCUACUCUCUUUUCCUGCACUUCCUUGGAGCCACCCAUCCCCGAUUCCUGACUGUCCUCUCCUGGCCUCCCUCUACAGCUGCGAUCGCCCCUUCCCCCAAUUCCCAAGUUCUCCCAAGCCGCUGGGAGCCUGCUACGUGGGCCGCCGAGGCUGUCGGGUACCUAGUGACACAGCUCCCAGACAGCACUACCACAGUAAUUAGCAAAUGUAAAUAAAUUUAUUUUUUUAUGAAUAAUAAAACGCAUUGUGAAAACCGAG